CUUACACAUGCAGUCGAGCGGUAAGGCCCUUCGGGGUACACGAGCGGCGAACGGGUGAGUAACACGUGGGUGAUCUGCCUCGCACUCUGGGAUAAGCCUGGGAAACUGGGUCUAAUACCGGAUAUGAGCAUGGUCUGCAUGGACUGUGUUGGAAAGGUUUACUGGUGCGAGAUGGGCCCGCGGCCUAUCAGCUUGUUGGUGGGGUAACGGCCUACCAAGGCGACGACGGGUAGCCGGCCUGAGAGGGCGACCGGCCACACUGGGACUGAGACACGGCCCAGACUCCUACGGGAGGCAGCAGUGGGGAAUAUUGCACAAUGGGCGAAAGCCUGAUGCAGCGACGCCGCGUGAGGGAUGACGGCCUUCGGGUUGUAAACCUCUUUCGACAGGGACGAAGCGCAAGUGACGGUACCUGUAGAAGAAGCACCGGCCAACUACGUGCCAGCAGCCGCGGUAAUACGUAGGGUGCGAGCGUUGUCCGGAAUUACUGGGCGUAAAGAGCUUGUAGGCGGUCUGUCGCGUCGAUUGUGAAAACUCACAGCUCAACUGUGAGCCUGCAGUCGAUACGGGCAGACUAGAGUACUUCAGGGGAGACUGGAAUUCCUGGUGUAGCGGUGAAAUGCGCAGAUAUCAGGAGGAACACCGGUGGCGAAGGCGGGUCUCUGGGAAGUAACUGACGCUGAGAAGCGAAAGCGUGGGUAGCGAACAGGAUUAGAUACCCUGGUAGUCCACGCCGUAAACGGUGGGUACUAGGUGUGGGUUUCCUUCCACGGGAUCCGUGCCGUAGCUAACGCAUUAAGUACCCCGCCUGGGGAGUACGGCCGCAAGGCUAAAACUCAAAGGAAUUGACGGGGGCCCGCACAAGCGGCGGAGCAUGUGGAUUAAUUCGAUGCAACGCGAAGAACCUUACCUGGGUUUGACAUACACCGGAAAGCCGUAGAGAUACGGCCCCCCUUGUGGUCGGUGUACAGGUGGUGCAUGGCUGUCGUCAGCUCGUGUCGUGAGAUGUUGGGUUAAGUCCCGCAACGAGCGCAACCCUUAUCUUAUGUUGCCAGCGCGUAAUGGCGGGGACUCGUGAGAGACUGCCGGGGUCAACUCGGAGGAAGGUGGGGACGACGUCAAGUCAUCAUGCCCCUUAUGUCCAGGGCUUCACACAUGCUACAAUGGCCGGUACAGAGGGCUGCGAUACCGUGAGGUGGAGCGAAUCCCUUAAAGCCGGUCUCAGUUCGGAUCGGGGUCUGCAACUCGACCCCGUGAAGUUGGAGUCGCUAGUAAUCGCAGAUCAGCAACGCUGCGGUGAAUACGUUCCCGGGCCUUGUACACACCGCCCGUCACGUCAUGAAAGUCGGUAACACCCGAAGCCGGUGGCCUAACCCCUU
rnacentral:rRNA from 1 species